rnacentral:ncRNA from 1 species
CCUCGCGGGAGGCGUGCUUUUAUCAUACCAAAAACCGGCCGCGUCUUCGGGCGCGUUCGCCUUGGUGACUCUGGAUAACUUUGCGGAUCGCACGGUCUAGCACCGGCGACGGAUCAUUCAAGUGUCUGCCCUAUCAACUUUCGUCGGUACGGUAUUUGCCUACCGAGGUUCUUACGGGUGACGGGGAAUCAGGGUUCGAUUCCGGAGAGGGAGCCUGAGAAACGGCUACCACAUCCAAGGAAGGCAGCAGGCGCGCAAAUUACCCAUUCCCGACGCGGGGAGGUAGUGACGAAAAAUAACAAUGCAGGACUCGUUCGAGGCCCUGUAAUUGGAAUGAGUACACUUUAAAAGCUUUAACGAGUAUCCAUUGGAGGGCAAGUCUGGUGCCAGCAGCCGCGGUAAUUCCAGCUCCAAAAGUAUAUAUUUAAGUUGUUGCGGUUAAAAAGCUCGUAGUUGGAUUUUGGGCGCAGGCGGCCGGUCCGUCGCAAGGCGUGUACUGGACGUCCUGGCCUUCCCUCCGGUUCUCCGCCGGUGCUCUUGACUGAGUGUCGGCGGCGGCCGGAACGUUUACUUUGAAAAAAUAGAGUGUUCAAAGCAGGCUCUCGAGCCUGGAUAAUGGUGCAUGGAAUAAUGGAAUAGGACCUCGGUUCUAUUUUGUUGGUUUUCGGAGCGCGAGGUAAUGAUUAAGAGGGACAGACGGGGGCAUUCGUACUGUGCCGUUAGAGGUGAAAUUCUUGGAUCGGCGCAAGACGAACGACUGCGAAAGCAUUUGCCAAGAAUGUUUUCUUUAAUCAAGAGCGAAAGUCAGAGGUUCGAAGACGAUCAGAUACCGUCCUAGUUCUGACUAUAAACGAUGCCAACUAGCGAUCGGGGGGCGUUACAUUGACGACCCCUCCGGCAGCUUACGGGAAACCAAAGUCUUUGGGUUCCGGGGGAAGUAUGGUUGCAAAGCUGAAACUUAAAGGAAUUGACGGAAGGGCACCACCAGGAGUGGAGCCUGCGGCUUAAUUUGACUCAACACGGGAAAUCUCACCCGGCCCGGACACAGUGAGGAUUGACAGAUUGAGAGCUCUUUCUUGAUUCU